GGGGUCUUACUUCUUAUCGACGAUCGUCUGCUACUCGAAAUGUCAGCUGAUAAGCCAAGGUUACUGCACAUACUGCGGAGGUCCAUUUUAAUUUUUUCGCGAAAUUGCUUCUAAAAGUGAUUCGCAAGAAAUGUUGGAAGCACCGUUAGAUAUCAAGCACAUAUCACUUCAGAGAGCGACUCGACGACGCGUUUGCUUUUCUUAUCCCGUUAUCUCAUAUGGAACGAGGAGCGCCUUGAUGAGGUCCCUGGAUUUAUUAUUCCUGCGGCUUAUCGAAGUGGGAAGGACUGUCUCCGUCGGGCAAUGACGGUUGCUAUAUGUGGACGAGCUCGCUCGAAAAGGCCAUCCCGUAUUAAGUGUUCUUCCUUAGCCUUUCCUGCACCGAGUUCAAGGUUUCCUGCUUCGUUGUGUCAGUCCAUAAAUAUACGCAGAAAGAUGCGAGAGAAAGUUUGGAAGGAAAAAUAUUCGACGUUAGAUGGAAAAUAAAAUUAGCUGGGGGCUUCCUUCGAGCCUAAGGAUUGAAGAGAUGAAGAUUUCGUUUCA